UACAUGGGGUGCAAACGUUGCUCGGAAUCAUUGGGCGUAAAGCGCGCGUAGGCGGUUACACAAGUUGGAUGUGAAAGCCCUCGGCUUAACUGAGGAAGUGCAUCCAAACUGUGCAGCUAGAGUACUAAAGAGGGUCGCGGAAUUCCCGGUGUAGAGGUGAAAUUCGUAGAUAUCGGGAGACACCGGUGGCGAAGGCGGCGACCUGGUAGAUACUGACGCUGAGGCGCGAAAGCGUGGGGAGCAACAGG
rnacentral:rRNA from 1 species